rnacentral:lncRNA from 1 species
UCACAACCUAUGGUAAUCAUGAUUGACUUCUCUUUUUUAAAAAAUUCAAUAUGAUAUUUUCUGUUUAUAAAUUGUUCUUGAAUCUCUUCCUUGUCCCACAAGGAAAAAGGAAAAGAGAAGAAAACACCAUUUUCAGUCAAUGUUUUUUAUGUCUAUCUCUCUCUUGUUUGUUUGUUUGUUUGUUUUUCCUACUAGAAAAAUUGUGUAGGGGUACCAAUCAGUAGAUAAAGCUAGAGUGCUAGGUCUGAAUUCAAAUCUUACCUCAGAUGCUUACUAGUUCUGUGUAUCUCUGAGCAAGUUGCUUAAUCUAUUUGCCUUAAUCCAUUAGAGAAGGAAAUAGCAAAUCACUCCAGUGUCUUUAUCAAGAAAAUCCCAUGGAAAGUAUGGUCCAUGGGGUCAUGAAGAAUUAGACAAGACAGAACAACAGCAAAUAUGGAGGAGGGAUGAGAAUAACUUCUCUCCCCACUAAAGUCAUUCUGGUUGGGAAGUGACCCCAGGUUCCUAAAAAAUCUGCCCGUCCCAAACUCUGGGAGUUCUGUAAGAGAGGAAUUUGUCCAAUUUGUGCAAGGAGAAAUCUCUGGCAGAAUUCAGCUGCAGAGAGAGAGUGGGGAAGGUGCAAGAAGAAAAAACUCAAGAUUCCAUUCAGAGAAUCAGAAACUUGGAGGACUCCAAAUGGUAAUCACUCCUUCACUUCUUCCAGCUAGGAGCCAGGUCCGUGUUGGUGAACCUAUGGCACGUGUGCCAAAGGGAGAGCUGCUCCCCUCCCCCUCUUCACAUGUGUCCAAGGAUGUUUCUCACAUGACCCGUCCCUCUCCCCAACAGCCAAUGGGAGUGCUUCCUCUCUCCCCUAUAUGGGGUAAGGCGGGGCUCAGAGUUGCAGUUUGAGCACUUGCUCUCUAUGUUGCCUUCCGGCUGGCUACCUUCUCAUGCCACAGAACCAGCCCCACUUCUCUUUCUGUCAUACAGUUCUUUGAUGACAUCCUUACUCCUGGUUAUCUUUAGAGUUCCUUGUUGGCCAAAAGUAUGCUAUACAUAAUUAUAGAUACAAUCCUCUUUUUCUUUUCUUUGUGUAUUGAAACAUUUGUUGAAAUUUAAACUUCAAAACCAAAAGGAAUAGAGUGAGAUGAUACUAUAAUUUGGUUCUCUAGAGGCUCUUGAAUGCCUCUUUCCCCAAGAGUCAUGUGUAUAAAUACUAUUAUGAUGAUAGAAUAGAUCCAGGUACAUUCCAGGGGGAUUUUCUCAUUCUCUUCUCAGUGCCCCCAAUAAGGAAACCUGAGAAAAUAGUAAGUUAUUGACCCUGGAUCAGUGGAUUAAAAGUUCUUGAAAUAUGGAAAGAACAUUAAAGAUCAUCUAAUUCAAUCCAAUAAUUUUACAGAAGAGGAAACUGAGGCCCAGAGAGAUUAGAAUAAUUGCCCAGUCACACAGAUAGUAAGUAAUGGAACCAGGAAUUUGAUACACACAGCAUGACUUUUAGUUUAUCACUCUAAGUCACACCACUAAAAUGCAUAGUAUAUA